GGCUGCUUUUGAGCAGCAGAGCCAGAGACCCCUGUGCACUGUCCAUGGAGCAGCCUGAGCAAAGCACCAAGCUGAGAAAGUGCGUGGGAGAGCAAAGUGUCUGAUGCAGUUGGAAAAGACACUGAGGAGAUUGGGUUAAGUACCUAUGACUCCAGGAUUUGCCAGUGAAAGAAGUCAACAAUAUUUUAACUUUGAUCUUAACCAAAAGGCCAAGAAGUGAUGCUAAUAUUUUCAUAUACUACGACAGUUGCAGACACACGUCUAUCAUAGCUGGGUAGUAAUCCAGGCAACUCUGCCACAAGUCAUGGGCUCAGCCACCAGUCCACGAAGUCUCCAGUCACACAUAUUGCUUCGGACUAUUCUCUAUCCCCAGUUGUCAAUUAACUAAAAUAUUAAAUGAGAAGAAAACCUGAUGUCUGAGCUGAAUCCUAAUCAUGAAGAUGUUUUUCCACCAUUCCUGUCUGUGUUUUUCUACCAUUCCUGUCUGUGUUUUUCUACCAAAGUGUGCUCUUGAAGUUCUGCAUUUCCCAGGGUGUGGUGAAAGAAGAGAAAAAAAUGUCCAAGAUGACUUCAACGUUCUGACCUUGAGUGGCUUGAGUGAAUGGAGUUACAACUGUGCAGAAA
rnacentral:lncRNA from 1 species